AUCUAAUUUAUUUAUCUCAUAGCUCAACUCCAUCCAAUUUAUUAUAAAUCUAGCCACUUUACAUCCAGUUCAUAUCAAAUUUAGCCAUAAAUAUUUCAAUUUUUGUCCAAAUUGUAAGUCAAUUGAAUGACCCUAUUUUAAUCUCAGUCGUUGAUCAAAAUUGAUCAGACGGUUGAGAAGGAGUCAAAUUUCCUUUCCUUUUAAGACCCAAAACAAAUCCCUAACCCUAAUUUGCUUCAUUUCAUCUGCCUCCCCACAGACCCGCCUCUCUCUCCCUCUCUUCAUCUCACCUCUCUUGUCCUCUCCUCACCUGCGUCCAAGGCUACCGCCGGCCACUCUAGCAUCGGCAAGCCACUCCUAUUGCUCUCCUCUCCCUCUAUAAAACCCCUUUCCCUCCGAUCUCCCUUCCAAAGUCGUCGCAGCCAAGGAAGGCAACAAGUAGCCGCUCCAGCUGACCUUACUCCCUCUGUUUGUCAACCCGAGCCACCCCUAGCGCCAUCAGCGGCGCCGCCAUCGGCGAAAAAAGCCACGCCAGCGAGUACAAAGCCCCGCGCCACCAGCAACCUCCGAUCAUCGCCGCCACGAUAACAGCGGCGACCAACGCCCCGUGUCGUCGUCACCUCCAACAGCAGCGACCAACGCACUACCGAAAUCGGCCUUCACCAGCCGGGACUUGACCCCUCUUCCUCCGCCAGCGCCACCCUAUGACGUCUCUCUACUCUCCGCAAAUCCCCCCAGAUCCGACUGUUAUAUGGUUUAAAUUAAUAAUUACGGGUUCCAAAGAGUCGCCAGAAUUGUUAUAUAAUUAGUUUUAGUAUGCUUUCUUAUUAUUUGAUUUGUAAUAUUUUGUAAAGACAUUAUAUUGAUGAUGUAAUAAUAAUUUUAGGGACUGCUUCUGGAGGUGGGAAUCUACAUGCUCUGUGAAUGAUAUAGGUAGGCACAAUUUAGGUUAACGUGUAAUACAUGCUAUGUGGGUCACUUAGGCAUAAAAUUAUAAUUUAUUAACAUAUGAAUCAAUUGCUACGGUU